rnacentral:rRNA from 1 species
AUGGCCGAAUGCUUCAAUAGGGUGCUCAAAGGUGCACGUGGAUUACCCGUGACGGCAAUAGUUCAAUACACAUUUGACAAGAUGAAUGCGUACUUUGUAAAGUACUUGAUGGAAACCGAUGCACAGAUAGCGGGUGAGAACCUACGGAAGUACAAGUACAAGUUCCCACCCAAAGUUGAUGAAUGGUUGCUAUUUCAAUCACGGAAGGCGGACUCAGAAGAAGCUAUAUUAUAUGACAAUGAGGAGUGGAAGUACGAAGUGAAAGAGCCAGGAGGAACCACAAACGAUGGCCGGCAACAUGGAGGUCGGGCUUUCAAGGUGUCGUUAACACAAUGUGAUUGCAAUUGCGGGAGGCCAUUGUUGCUUCAUCUCCCAUGCUCACAUUUGUAUGCCGCCGGCCGCGUUAGGAAUGUGGACAUCAAUCACCCACGCACCGUGAGGGAGUCCCAGUUCUCAAUCAUGACGGUCAAGAAAACAUGGGCUCCCCGCUUUCACCCAUACUUUGACCAAUCACAAUGGCCGGAGUAUCAUGGAGUUCAACUAUGGCCGGAUCCG